AAUUAUCUAGAAUAGUUUAUCAAGCAUAAAACCGACAAUGUUAGAUAAAAGGGAAUCUAAUUGAAUAAUGGUGUUGAAAACCUACCCGUUAAGUGAGUAGGAAUCCUAAAGUUGUUCAUGUGAUUACCCACCUGCGAGAGCGGGAUUUUAUCAACGGUAAGCUAUACUAGAUUUUUU
rnacentral:other from 1 species